rnacentral:rRNA from 1 species
GAUGAACGCUGGCGGCGUGCUUAACACAUGCAAGUCGAACGAAGCAUUUACGACAGAUUUCUUCGGAUUGAAGUUGUUUAUGACUGAGUGGCGGACGGGUGAGUAACGCGUGGGUAACCUGCCUUGUACUGGGGGAUAGCAGCUGGAAACGGCUGGUAAUACCGCAUAAGCGCACAAUGUUGCAUGACAUGGUGUGAAAAACUCCGGUGGUAUAAGAUGGACCCGCGUCUGAUUAGCUAGUUGGUGAGAUAACAGCCCACCAAGGCGACGAUCAGUAGCCGACCUGAGAGGGUGACCGGCCACAUUGGGACUGAGACACGGCCCAGACUCCUACGGGAGGCAGCAGUGGGGAAUAUUGCACAAUGGAGGAAACUCUGAUGCAGCGACGCCGCGUGAGUGAAGAAGUAAUUCGUUAUGUAAAGCUCUAUCAGCAGGGAAGAUAGUGACGGUACCUGACUAAGAAGCUCCGGCUAAAUACGUGCCAGCCGCCGCAGUAA